AGUUAAGUGAAUAAGCGUAUAUGGUGGAUGCCUAGGCAGUCAAAGGCGAUGAAGGACGUAUUAAUCUGCGAUAAGCAUCGGCUAGCUGAAUAAAAAGCGAUAUUAACCGGUGAUUUCCGAAUGGGGAAACCCGAUGUAAUUUUUUUACAUCAUCGUUAAAUGAAUAUAUAGUUUAACGAAGCAAACCAAGGGAAUUGAAACAUCUUAGUACCUUGAGGAAAAUAAAUCAAAAGAGAUUCCCAAAGUAGCGGCGAGCGAAAAGGGAAUAGCCUAAAAAUUUAUAAUUAAAUAUAUAUAUUAGGAAAAUAGUAUGGAAAGACUAGUAAUAUAGGGUGAUAACCCCGUAUCCGAAAAUAUAUAUAUUUAAAAAUUUAAAAAGUAAAACGGGACACGUGAUAUCUUGUUUGAAGAAGGGGGGACCAUCCUCCAAGGCUAAAUACUAAUGACUGACCGAUAGUGAACUAGUACCGUGAGGGAAAGGUGAAAAGAACCCCGGUUAGGGGAGUGAAAUAGAACCUGAAACCGUAUACGUACAAGCAGUAGGAGCAUUUAUUAUUUUAAAAUGUGACUGCGUACCUUUUGUAUAAUGGGUCAGCGACUUAUAUUCUGUAGCAAGGUUAACCAUAUAGGGGAGCCGUAGGGAAACCGAGUCUUAAAUGGGCGUUUAUAGUUGCAGGUUAUAGACCCGAAACCUGGUGAUCUAGCCAUGAGCAGGUUGAAAAUUUGUUAAAACUAAUUGGAAGACCGAACUGACUAAUGUUGAAAAAUUAGCGGAUGACUUGUGGUUAGGGGUGAAAGGCCAAUCAAACCAGGAGAUAGCUGGUUCUCCUCGAAAGCUAUUUAGGUAGCGCCUCGUAAAUUCAUCUAUGGAGGUAGAGCUCUGUUUCGACUAGGGGUCCAUACUGGAUUACCAAAUCGAUGCAAACUUCAAAUACUAUAGAAUGUUAUUACGGGAGACACACAACGGGUGCUAACGUCCGUUGUGAAAAGGGAAACAACCCAGAUCGUCAUCUAAGGUCCCUAAAUUAUAAUUAAGUGGGAAACGAUGUAAAUAAUCUUAGACAUCCAGGAUGUUGGCUUAGAAGCAGCCAUCAUUUAAAGAAAGCGUAAUAGCUCACUGGUCGAGUUUGUUUGCGCGGAAAAUGUAACGGGGCUAAAAUUAUAUACCGAAGAUACGACAAUAACAAUUAAAUGUUAUUGGGUAGAGGAGCGUUCUGUAAGCCUGUGAAGGAAAUUUGUAAAAAUUUCUGGAGGUAUCAGAAGUGCGAAUGCUGACAUAAGUAACGAUAAAACAAGUGAAAAACUUGUUCGCCGAAAGGCUAAGGUUUCCUGUUCAACGUUAAUCGGAGCAGGGUGAGUCGAUACCUAAGAUGAGGCCGAUAGGCGUAGUCGAUGGUAAACAGGUUAAUAUUCCUGUACUAAAUGUAAUUGCGAUGAGGGGACGAAGUAAGCUAGGUUCGCCAAGUGAUGGUUAUCUUGGUUCAAACGUGUGAUAAAAAAAUAGGGAAAUCCGUUUUUUAUAAUAUAAGGCGUGUUAACGAGCUAUUUUUAGUGAAGGAAUUGAAGCUAUUCUUCCAAGAAAAGCCUCUAAGCUAUAGAUUACAAUUUAAUCGUACUAUAAACCGACACAGGUGGUCAAGUAGAGAAUACUAAGGCGUUUGAGAGAACUCAGGUGAAGGAACUAGGCAAAAUGGUGCCGUAACUUCGGGAGAAGGCACACUAACAUGUAAGUGAAAAGAUAUAUCUCUAUUAGCUGAAGUUAGUCUCAGAAAAUAGCUAGCUGCAACUGUUUAUUAAAAACACAGCACUGUGCAAACACGUAAGUGGAAGUAUACGGUGUGACGCCUGCCCGGUGCCGGAAGGUUAAUUGAUAAGGUUAACUAUGUUUUUAUGGUGAAGCUUUUGAUUGAAGCCCCGGUAAACGGCGGCCGUAACUAUAACGGUCCUAAGGUAGCGAAAUUCCUUGUCGGGUAAGUUCCGACCUGCACGAAUGGCGUAAUGAUGGCCACGCUGUCUCCAUUUAGAACUCAGUGAAAUUGAAUUUGCUGUGAAGAUGCAGUGUAUCUACGGCUAGACGGAAAGACCCCGUGAACCUUUACUAUAACUUCACAUUGAAUAUUGGUAAUUUUUGCGUAGGAUAGCUGGGAGAUUUUGAUACAUAAAUUUAGGUUUAUGAGUAGUCAACCUUGAAAUACCAGUCUAAAAUUUUUGAUAUUCUAAUAUAUUUUGUAAUCCAUUAUAUAAAAAAUGUGUGGUUGGUAGUUUGACUGGGGCGGUCUCCUCCUAAAAAGUAACGGAGGAGUGCAAAGGUACUCUCAAUACGUUUGGAAAACGUAUGUUGAGCAUAAGAGCAUAUGAGUGCUUAACUGUAAGAUAGACAUAUCAAACAGAUACGAAAGUAGGCUCUAGUGAUCCGAUAAUUCUGAAUGGAAAGACUAUCGCUUAACGGAUAAAAGGUACUCCGGGGAUAACAGGCUAAUACUGCCCAAGAGUCCAUAUCGACGGCAGUGUUUGGCACCUCGAUGUCGGCUCAUCACAUCCUGGGGCCGGAGUUGGUCCCAAGGGUAUGGCUGUU
rnacentral:rRNA from 1 species